AUACGGAAGGUCCGGGCGUUAUCCGGAUUUAUUGGGUUUAAAGGGAGCGCAGGCGGCCUUUUAAGCGUGACGUGAAAUGUAGGCGCUCAACGUCUGAAUUGCGUCGCGAACUGUUAGGCUUGAGUAGACGGAAUGUCGGCGGAAUUCGUGGUGUAGCGGUGAAAUGCUUAGAUAUCACGAAGAACUCCGAUUGCGAAGGCAGCUGACAGCAGUUUUACUGACGCUCAUGUUCGAAAGUGCGGGUAUCGAACAGGAUUAGAUACCCUGGUAGUCCGCACGGUAAACGAUGGAUGCCCGCUGUUUGCUUUUAAAGUAAGCGGCCAAGCGAAAGCAUUAAGCAUCCCACCUGGGGAGUACGCCGGCAACGGUGAAACUUAAAGGAAUUGACGGGG
rnacentral:rRNA from 1 species